rnacentral:rRNA from 1 species
GACGAACGCUGGCGGCGUGCUUAAUACAUGCAAGUCGAACGGAAAGGCCCUGUUCUUGUGGGGUGCUCGAGUGGCGAACGGGUGAGUAACACGUGAGUAACAUGCCCUUGAGAUUGGGAUAACUUCAGGAAACUGGGACGAAUACAGCACAUGACAACCUUCUGCACGGGGUGUGUGGUUAAGUUGCGGCGUUUCGGCAUGGAGGCGCGGCUCAUCAGCUUGUUGGGGGGGUAGUGGCUUACCAAGGCUUCGACGGGUGGCCGGCCUGAGAGGGUGACCGGGCACAUAGGGACAGAGAUAGGGCCCAGAGUGCUACGGGGGGCAGCGGUGGGGAAUAUUGCAAGAUGGGCGGAGGGCGGGUGCAGGAGCGUCGGGUGGGGGAUGACGGCUGGCAGGUUAGAACGCGGUUUAGCGUGUGACGAAGCGUGAGUGACGGUAAUGGGUAAGGAAGCAACGGCUAACUACGUG